AUCUUAUUAGUUUAAAAUUAAAAAAUAUUAAUUUGUGAUAUUAAAGACAAAGUUUUAUAAGAUA
rnacentral:tRNA from 1 species